rnacentral:rRNA from 1 species
CAUAGGUUAAUGAGGCGAACCGGGGGAACUGAAACAUCUAAGUACCCCGAGGAAAAGAAAUCAACCGAGAUUCCCCCAGUAGCGGCGAGCGAACGGGGAGGAGCCCAGAGCCUGAAUCAGUGUGUGUGUUAGUGGAAGCGUCUGGAAAGGCGCGCGAUACAGGGUGACAGCCCCGUACACAAAAAUGCACAUAUUGUGAGCUCGAUGAGUAGGGCGGGACACGUGGUAUCCUGUCUGAAUAUGGGGGGACCAUCCUCCAAGGCUAAAUACUCCUGACUGACCGAUAGUGAACCAGUACCGUGAGGGAAAGGCGAAAAGAACCCC